AAGACUGUCGAUUUAAUAACAACAGUCAUUCCCAUGAAGAUGGGAAUCUCUUAAAUGGUUGAGAGAUCCCCGUGUCAAGCACGAGGGUGACAGUGUUUUUCGACAUAAAUCUC
rnacentral:ncRNA from 1 species